rnacentral:rRNA from 1 species
GACGAACGCUGGCGGCGUGCCUAAUACAUGCAAGUCGAACGAGAAUUUUUUACACCGAGUGCUUGCACUCACCGUAAGAAAUUCGAGUGGCGGACGGGUGAGUAACACGUGGGUAACCUGCCCAAAAGAAGGGGAUAACAUUUGGAAACAAAUGCUAAUACCGUAUAACCAUGAUGACCGCAUGGUCAUUAUGUAAAAGGUGGUUUUGCUAUCGCUUUUGGAUGGACCCGCGGCGUAUUAACUAGUUGGUAGGGUAACGGCCUACCAAGGUGAGGAGACGUAGCCGAGUUGAGAGACUGAUCGGCCACAAUAGGACUGAGACACGGCCCAUACUCCUACGGGAGGCAGCAGUAGGGAAUCUUCCACAAUGGGCGCAAGCCUGAUGGAGCAACGCCGCGUGAAUGAAGAAGGUCUUCGGAUCGUAAAAUUCUGUUGUUAGAGAAGAAUAUGAGUAAUAGUAACUGAUUAUUCACUGACGGUAUCUAACCAGCAAGUCACGGCUAACUACGUGCCAGCCGCCGCAGUAA